GUGGACGUAGUUUAGUUAAAACAUUAGAUUGUGAUUCUAGUGACAGGGGUUCAAGUCCCCUUGUUCACC
rnacentral:tRNA from 2 species